UACGGGGGGGGCAAGCGUUGUUCGGAAUUACUGGGCGUAAAGGGCUCGUAGGUGGCCAACUAAGUCGGACGUGAAAUCCCUCGGCUUAACCGGGAACUGCGUCUGAUACUGGAUGGCUUGAGUUCGGGAGAGGGAUGCGGAAUUCCAGGUGUAGCGGUGAAUGCGUAGAUAUCUGGAGGAACACCGGUGGCGAAGGCGGCAUCCUGGACCGACACUGACGCUGAGGAGCGAAAGCCAGGGAGCAAAGCGGG
rnacentral:rRNA from 1 species